UGGUGUAAGCUUCCAUAUCCUCUGCUUAGUCAUGUCAUGAUUCGUACUUCAAUAAUUAUUAUUUGAUGAUACGAAUAAGACACGAAAUUACCAUGUAAAAAAAGGUAACCACCAUCGAUGGAUCCUAUCCUAUCCUACCUUAGUUAUUAUUACCUUCAAAUCAAAUCAGAAUUCCCUCCGCCGUCCUCCUCGAUCUCUUCCCUCCCUCUCUGCAAUAUUGCUUUGCUUUUGCCUUUGGCCUUUGGCUUUCUCUGCUGCCGCUAAUGGCGUUGUUAAUGGCCGCCACCUCCCGGCUUUAACCCCUCGCUAAACCAUUUCUUCCUCCUCCUCCUCGUCUCUGCCUAAUCAACCGGUCCAUGCUGGAAAAAAUGAGGCGGGUGGCGCCGGCGGCCGUCGCUUCUGCCCACCACGGAGAUGAUGUCCACCAAGCCCACGACGGAGGCGCCCACUCCUCGCCUAGCUGCGCCUGCGCCUGCCCCUGCCGCCGCGGCAAGGCGGGCGCGUCCACCGUCGGCGACAAUGACGGCAGCCGCCCGUCGCCGGAGGCCAAAGGUGCCGCCUUGCCGCGGAUCUGCAUCCGGGACCCCGCCGGCCNNNN
rnacentral:lncRNA from 1 species